GGCCUCAAAUCAGGUAGGACUACCCGCUGAACUUAAGCAUAUCAAUAAGCGGAGGAAAAGAAACUAACAAGGAUUCCCCUAGUAACGGCGAGUGAAGCGGGAAGAGCUCAAAUUUGAAAUCUGGUGGCCUCAGGCUAUCCGAGUUGUAAUCUAUAGAAACAUUUUCCGCGUUGGCCCAUGUACAAGUCUCUUGGAAUAGAGCGUCAUAGAGGGUGAGAAUCCCGUCCUUGACAUGGACUACCAGUGCUUUGUGAUAUGUUUUCAACGAGUCGAGUUGUUUGGGAAUGCAGCUCAAAAUGGGUGGUAAAUUCCAUCUAAAGCUAAAUAUUGGCGAGAGACCGAUAGCGAACAAGUACCGUGAGGGAAAGAUGAAAAGCACUUUGGAAAGAGAGUUAAACAGUAUGUGAAAUUGUUGAAAGGGAAACGA
rnacentral:rRNA from 1 species